rnacentral:rRNA from 1 species
CCUACGGGGUGCAGCAGUGGGGAAUUUUGCGCAAUGCUCGUAAGAGUGACGCAGCGACGCCGCGUGAAUGACGAAGGCCUUCGGGUCGUAAAGUUCUUUCGACAGGGAAGAAAAUGCAUAUAAGUAACUGUGUAUGUAUUGACGGUACCUGUAUAAGCAGCCCCGGCUAACUCCGUGCCAGCAGCCGCGGUAAUACGGAGGGGGCGAGCGUUGUUCGGAGGGACUGGGCGUAUAGAGCACGUAGGCGGUGUUGUAAGUCAUUAGUCAAAGACUAGAGCUCAACUUUAGUAAGGCUAGUGAUACUAUAAUACUAGAGUAUCAGAGAGGAUUGCAGAAUUCCUGGUGUAGCGGUGAAAUGCGUAGAUAUCAGGAGGAAUACCGUUAGCGAAGGCGGCAAUCUGGCUGGAAACUGACGCUGAGGUGCGAAAGCGUGGGUAGCAAACAGGAUUAGAUACCCCUGUAGUC